AUUAUGCAUCGUUCGCUGACUGAUUGACUGACUUCCUAUGACGAACACGGCCGCCGAUGGUACAGUUAAACGAGCGAUCUAAUAACCCGGAAAAUCGUGAAAUCGGAUGGCAGUUCGAAAGGGGGAAAAUUCCAACAGUUUCCCAGGGAGCAACCAACUGUAAUUUCACUGUGCAAACGGAGAACACGCGAUGAAACGAAUUAUCUAUUCCUCUUUCAACGAUGAACCGCUUCCCGAGUGCAGAAUGGAAAGGCGAAUGGCGCGAUUAACCAGAAGUAUUCAGCAUGAAAGACACCCGCCUCUAUGCUUCGGAUAUAAUUGGAGCACCAUCGAGGGAAGCAAGUUUGCUUGAAUACGAAAGUAGAAAGGAAGAAAAAGGACUGGUUCGCGUUUAAUCUUUCGACGCGGAGCACCGGUUGGUACUUUUAGCAACGAGUAAACUACUUCAACCUUGACUGAACCACUCCACGUCCGCGAUUCACUUAGCUCCGCGUCGCGGAACCGCAACUAUCCGUCUGGAAUUCAAACUAGCCGAGAGCCUAGGAGGAAUCCUUGGUUGAAGCAACGGUCCCAAGUUUUUCCUUUGAGCAAACAAGAGACCGAGCGUGCCGAUGCUUAUGCAAAACCCGCAACAAAAGGUACUACGGGACAACCCUUUUAACGAUGUCCAUAUCCGUUCAAUUCUUUUCAUUUGCUUAAACGGUAAAUGAACUGUCGAAUGGAUGACAAUAGUUUUCAAAUUUCGGGAAAAGAAGAAAAAGGGCGCGAAAAAGUACGUAAUCGUCAAAGUGUCCAAUAAACGUUGCAAAAACAAGCUAAAGUGAACUAGAGCGAGAUUCGCUCUAGAACCAACCCAUCUUCGGCCAUUUCCGGACAGACCGGAAGUGGCAAAGAAAAAAAUUUUUUUCGGCCACACCUUGAGAUUUUGACACACUAAACACAAUGGCGCAAGAAGUUUUUCGAUAACUCUUACCGUUUGGCCUGUACAAAAGUGACAGAAAGUCUAAAGCCCUCUUAUCAAGAUUUUCAAUCUUAAAAACGGAUUGGCUAAUAAAUUGCAAAGAUUGCCUAAUUAACUUUACGUUUUCAAACUCCUAUCUCUAAUUCAUCGCGCUACCAAUUUCACGGACGUUUUUAAUCAAUUCAGAUCAUCACGCGAUACGUCGAAUCGCACGGUACAAUCGAGUAUCGAAUCAAUUCAUCUAAAAGCUCCGUUCAUUCUCUUAUCGUUCGAUGCGUUUUGCGAUACCAAUUGUUCUGAAAUUUUCAAAUUUUCACGAUACAACUAUCCAAUAUCAGCAGCUUCCUUUGAUUAGAUUCGCAAAAAAAAAAAAAA